rnacentral:rRNA from 1 species
UGCCAGCAGCCGCGGUAAUACGGAGGGUGCAAGCAUUGAUCGGAAUUAUUGGGCGUAAAGGGCGCGUAGGCGGCUUGGUAAGUCAGACGUGAAAUUCCGGGGCUCAACCCCGGAGCUGCAUUUGAAACUAUCAGGCUAGAGUAUAGUUAGGGAAAACGGAAUUCCACGUGUAGCGGUGAAAUGCGUAGAUAUGUGGAAGAACACCGGUGGUGAAGACGGUUUUCUGGGCUAAAACUGACGCUGAGGCGCGAAAGCUAGGGUAGCAAACGGGAUUAGAUA